rnacentral:rRNA from 1 species
ACGCUCGACACCUACGGGGGGCAGCAGUGGGGAAUAUUGCACAAUGGGGGAAACCCUGAUGCAGCGACGCCGCGUGAGUGAAGAAGUAUUUCGGUAUGUAAAGCUCUAUCAGCAGGGAAGAAAAUGACGGUACCUGACUAAGAAGCCCCGGCUAACUACGUGCCAGCAGCUGCGGUAAUCUGAGCGGGCUGGCAAGGC